rnacentral:misc_RNA from 1 species
GUACCUCCAGGAUACAAUAAAGUCCGAAAUCUGCAGAUAGUAACUUUCAAAAAUUUCCCUCAAGAACUUUUUGUGCAAAUAUAAUUUAGAGAGAAUAGAAGAGGAGAAGAAGAAGAAAUAGAAGUGGUAUAUAAAUUUAAACAAAUCAUCCAUAUUUACAAAUAAUGAAAAGUCAUGGCAUCUUUUCUAAACAGGGACAUCUAUUUAUUUUCAAUAGACACAACUGUUUGUAUGUAAUAUAUAUGUCUGUUUAUUAACAGAAACACUUACUUGCCAACAAAUACAUCUGUUCGUAAUAUAUAUAUAUAUG